AGUGAACGCUGGCGGUAGGCCUAACACAUGCAAGUCGAACGGCAGCACAGGAGAGCUUGCUCUCUGGGUGGCGAGUGGCGGACGGGUGAGGAAUACAUCGGAAUCUACUUUUUCGUGGGGGAUAACGUAGGGAAACUUACGCUAAUACCGCAUACGACCUACGGGUGAAAGCAGGGGAUCUUCGGACCUUGCGCGAUUGAAUGAGCCGAUGUCGGAUUAGCUAGUUGGCGGGGUAAAGGCCCACCAAGGCGACGAUCCGUAGCUGGUCUGAGAGGAUGAUCAGCCACACUGGAACUGAGACACGGUCCAGACUCCUACGGGAGGCAGCAGUGGGGAAUAUUGGACAAUGGGCGCAAGCCUGAUCCAGCCAUACCGCGUGGGUGAAGAAGGCCUUCGGGUUGCAAAGCCCUUUUGUUGGGAAAGAAAUCCAGCUGGUUAAUACCCUGUUGGGAUGACGGUACCCAAAGAAUAAGCACCGGCUAACUUCGUGCCAGCCGCCGCGGUAA
rnacentral:rRNA from 1 species